rnacentral:lncRNA from 10 species
UCUGAGGUGGCAACACUUCUCUUCAGCCAGACAGCACUGGCCAGUUUGGAGUCUGUCCAUCCUGCAGGCCACAAGCUCUGGAUGAGGAACUUGAGGCAAGUCACCAGCCCCUGAUCAUUUCGCCUAAAAGAGCAAGGACUAGAGUUCCUGACCUCCAGGCCAGUCCCUGAUCCCUGACCUAAUGUUAUCGCGGAAUGAUGGUAAAGGGAAUCUGAGAAAGCUGCAACCAACCAGGAGGCUGGGGUACGCUGGAGAAGGAAUGGGCUUCCUAACCUUGAGCCCUCUUCCCUGAAGAUAUAUGUAUCUACGGGGGCCUGGGGCUGGGCGGGCUCCUGCUUCUGGCAGUGGUCCUUCUGUCCGCCUGCCUGUGUUGGCUGCAUCGAAGAGGUGAGCGCUGCACUCCCUCCCUCCCCCUGCAGCAGUGCCCCCUGUGCCCCCACCCCCACACGCUUUCCCACUGCUUUCCCAGAACACUGCCUGGCCCUGGAGCCACUGGGAAGCCAACAGGGGAGUCCACGCCUGCUGGUGGGGGGAGCCCGGGAGGGCCCGGGAGAAGCACAAAGGGUGGGCUGUGUUGAGCUUCUUCUUUUCUUCCAGUAAAGAGGCUGGAGAGGAGCUGGGUGAGUCUGGGGACAGGGAAGGGGGAGGGCAAGAGAGAUCCUGAGUGGGUGAGUGGGGAGAAGCAUGGCUGAGCGCUGAGAGGAGGGUUGGGGACGGGAGACAAGGAGAGAGAAAGUAGGAGCAUGAGAGAGGCAGAGAAAAUCGAGGCAAAAGAGAAAGAGAAAAUGAGACAGAAACCAAGAGAAAAAGUGAGACAGAGGAUAGGAGAGACAGGGAGAAAAUGAGAGUGAGAGAGACACAAAGAGAAGAGCAAUGAAAGAGAGAGAGAGAGAGAGGCUCCAGAACCAGGCACAGUGGCUCACGUCUGUCAUUCCAGCUAUCGCAAGGCUGAGGCAGGAAGAUAGCUUGAGCUCAGGGGUUGAAGACAAUCCUGGACAACAUAGUGGGACUCUGUCUCCAAAGAAAAAAGAGAGAGAGAGAGAGAGAGAGAGAGAGGGAGAGAGAGAGAGAGAGAGGGAGAGAAGUAAGAAAGGCUGGAGGUGGGAGCAGAACUCACAGGGAAGGAUCUGACGGCAUCGCCUCCCAUCAGCACCUUCUGUCCUGGUCCCAGGCCCAGGGCUCCUCAGAGCAGGAACUCCACUAUGCAUCUCUGCAGAGGCUGCCAGUGCCCAGCAGUGAGGGACCUGACCUCAGGGGCAGAGACAAGAGAGGCACCAAGGAGGAUCCAAGAGCUGACUAUGCCUGCAUUGCUGAGAACAAACCCACCUGAGCACCCCAGACACCUUCCUCAACCCAGGCGGGUGGACAGGGUCCCCCUGUGGUCCAGCCAGUAAAAACCAUGGUCCCCCCACUUCUGUGUCUCAGUCCUCUCAGUCCAUCUCGAGCCUCCGUUCAAAUUGAUCAUCAUCAAAACUUAUGUGGCUUUUUGACCUUUGAAUAGGGAAUUUUUUAAAUUUUUUAAAAAUUAAAAUAAAAAAAACACAUGGCUCACCCUUCCACCCA